rnacentral:snRNA from 1 species
GGAUGUGGGAGUGAUCUGACUACAGCGUGUGUCUCUCCACUGACUGGCAGGACUGAAUCAACUGAUCUGGCUGCCUACACAGGCGUCUCCUUCCUCUAUCACUUCUCCAUGUGUGUCCCUCACAAAACUAUGCACUCAAUCAAAGAGCAAGACGUCUGUACCUUUAUAAUGGAGGACUAUUCUUUGAUUGAGAGUAUACACGUAGGUGUGCUCCCCUGCUAAAAUCUCCAAACAAGCUCCCAAAGGCACAUUCGUUUUAUAUUUACAGGCUGAGGAGUGAUGAAAAGAAGACAUUGCAGGUCUGUGUUUUCCUUAAACUUUAAUAUUU